ACGCAGUAUGGUGAGGGCUUUUUUGAGAGAUUGAAUUUUGUGCAAGUUUUGCUGGUGAGCUGUCCAUUGAAUUGAUUAGAUGCUUUUGAUAUUAGUAGAUGUGUUUAUGAGUUGGAUCAAGUUGAAUUUAAGUUGCGCUUAAGAAUGAUAUUAACCUAUUUUAUAUUUAUUCAAGUUUGACUCGAUCCGAAAUAUGAAUCUAAAAUUUUGUCCAAAUCUGUUCAUAUUUAAAAAAAUCAACUCAAACUCAUUUUAAGCCUGCUCAUAUUAUUUUUACUUUUUUUUAAAAUUAUUUAUUUUAUUUUAAUAUUUAAUAAUUUUAUACAAUUUUUUAUUUAUUGAAAUUUUUUAUAUAGUCAUAUUAUCAUUAUUUUAAUAUUUACAGUAGAGUAGUAUUAUAUAUUUAUUAUUGGUUUAUUUUUUAGUAUGUUUUAAAUUACAUAAUAUAUAAAAAUAACAUAAAAUAAAGUAUUAUAAAUUUAAAAAUGAGUCAGGUCGAGCGAGACUAAAGCCUUGAUGGUUCAAACUUAAGUUCCACUUAUAUUUUAUAUGGGCCUAAUUUUUUUACUCAAAACUAAUUUUUCAAGCCUAAUAUUUUUAUCCAAACCCCUCAUAUUUCAGGUGAACGUUUGGAUUUAGACAAAUAACCCAACCCAUAAACAAGUCUAAAUAGUAGUUGUAGAGCCCAAUUUUAGCCCGGGCCAAAAACAAAACCAAAUAAAAAACAAAGUCCAAAAUAACUAAAUUAGUCCAAAAUUACAGCCCAAAUUAAAUACCCAAACUAAAGACCUAGGCCCAAAAUCCUAGCCCACCUAGCACUAACCCACAACCAGUAAAAACAGAAAACCCUAGGUGCGCCGCACCUAGGUUGGUUGCCCACCCCUCCAUCGAGCGCCGCACGCCCCAUGCACGACCCCCAGCUCGCGUGUUGCACACCCCACGUCCGUGCAUUCCUCCUCCACAUCUUCACGAUACCUGCGACUUGAGCAAGAAAAUAGCAAGAGACUAGUUGUAUUCAGCUAUAAAGCCCUCAAAUUUUGAUUGUUUUGGGGACCUUUUUUUCUUUUUUUUUUCCAGAGAGAUAGAAUAAAGAUAUAAAGAAAUCAACAAAUAUACAGAAAUCAACAAGAAACAGUCAGAAGAAUACAUUUUAAAGGUGGUUUACCGCCCUUUUUUUCGAUUUUUUUUCCUUACUUAUUUUCAUUUGAAUCCACAAUACAAAUACAAAAUAUAAGAGAGAGAGGAAGGGUCUCACCGGAGUCGUCUUGAGUUCACAUCGAUGGAGUACUCCAUUGGUCGCAAUUGGAUUUUGGGGCGGUUGAGGGCUUGGAUAUUAGCCUUUUGGCUGGAAAACAAGGGGAAAGUGCGUGAGUUAAGAGAAAAGAAGAUGAUUUUAGGGUUUUUUAUUUUUUUUAAAAAACAAGUGACCAAAUGAAUUUUUGU
rnacentral:lncRNA from 1 species